UACGUAGGGUGCGAGCGUUAAUCGGAAUUACUGGGCGUAAAGCGUGCGCAGGCGGUUUUGUAAGCCAGAUGUGAAAUCCCCGGGCUUAACCUGGGAAUGGCAUUUGGGACUGCAAGGCUGGAGUGUGGCAGAGGAGACUGGAAUUCCUGGUGUAGCAGUGAAAUGCGUAGAUAGUCAGGAGGAAUACCGAUGGCGAAGGCAGGUC
rnacentral:rRNA from 1 species